CCUGCAGGAAAGGACAUCAACCGAGACUCCGCAAGUAGUGGCGAGCGAACGCGGACCAGGCCAGUGGCAAUGAUGAAUAAAGCGGAACGAUUUGGAAAAGUCGGCCAUAGAGGGUGAUAGCCCCUUACGCGUAGAACAGUCAUUGUCCUUGAGUAGGGCGGGACACGUGAAAUCCUGUCUGAACAUGGGGAGACCACUCUCCAAGCCUAAGUACUCGUGCAUGACCGAUAGCGAACAAGUACCGUGAGGGAAAGGUGAAAAGCACCCCGACGAGGGGAGUGAAAUAGAACCUGAAACCGGAUGCCUACAAACAGUCGGAGCCCGCAAGGGUGACGGCGUACCUUUUGUAUAAUGGGUCAACGACUUAGUGUAACUAGCAAGCUUAAGCCGGUAGGUGUAGGCGCAGCGAAAGCGAGUCUGAAUAGGGCGAUUGAGUUAGUUGCAUUAGACCCGAAACCGAGUGAUCUAGCCAUGAGCAGGCUGAAGGUUGGGUAACACCAACUGGAGGGCCGAACCCGUAUCUGUUGCAAUAGAUUGGGAUGACUUGUGGCUAGGGGUGAAAGGCCAAUCAAACUCGGAAAUAGCUGGUUCUCCGCGAAAUCUAUUUAGGUAGAGCGUCGACCGAAUACCCUCGGGGGUAGAGCACUGGAUGGGCUAUGGGGACUCACCGUCUUACUGAUCCUAACCAAACUCCGAAUACCGAGGAGUACUAGUCGGCAGACACACGGCGGGUGCUAACGUCCGUCGUGAAAAGGGCAACAACCCUGACCUCCAGCUAAGGUCCCCAAGUCAUGGCUAAGUGGGAAAGGAUGUGAGGAUCCCAAAACAACCAGGAUGUUGGCUUAGAAGCAGCCAUCAUUUAAAGAAAGCGUAACAGCUCACUGGUCUAAAUAAGGGUCUUUGCGCCGAAAAUGUAACGGGGCUAAAGCCAUGCACCGAAGCUGAGGAUGUGACAGUUGUAGUGACUGUUGCGUGGUAGCGGAGCGUUCCGUAAGUCUGUGAAGGCGGACCCGUGAGGGCUGCUGGAGAUAUCGGAAGUGCGAAUGUUGACAUGAGUAACGAUAAAGGGAGUGAGAGACUCCCUCGCCGAAAGACCAAGGGUUCCUGCUUAAAGUUAAUCUGAGCAGGGUUAGCCGGCCCCUAAGACGAGGCGGACACGCGUAGUCGAUGGGAACCACGUUAAUAUUCGUGGGCCUGGUGGUAGUGACGGAUCUCGUGUGUUGUACAUUCUUAUUGGAUUGAAUGUGCGGCGAAGAGGUUCCAGGAAAUAGCUCCACCGUAUAGACCGUACCCGAAACCGACACAGGUGGUCAGGUAGAGUAUACCAAGGCGCUUGAGAGAACUAUGUUGAAGGAACUCGGCAAAUUGCACGCGUAACUUCGGAAGAAGCGUGACCCCAUUUUAGGCAACUAUGAUGGGGUGGCACAGACCAGGGGGUAGCGACUGUUUAUCAAAAACACAGGGCUCUGCGAAGUAGCAAUACGACGUAUAGGGUCUGACGCCUGCCCGGUGCUGGAAGGUUAAAGGGAGGGGUGCAAGCUCUGAACUGAAGCCCCAGUAAACGGCGGCCGUAACUAUAACGGUCCUAAGGUAGCGAAAUUCCUUGUCGGGUAAGUUCCGACCUGCACGAAUGGCGUAACGACUUCCCCGCUGUCUCCAACAUAGACUCAGUGAAAUUGAAUUCCCCGUGAAGAUGCGGGGUUCCUGCGGUCAGACGGAAAGACCCCGUGCACCUUUACUAUAGCUUUACACUGGCAUUCGCCAAGGCAUGUGUAGGAUAGGUGGUAGGCUUUGAAGCAGGGACGCCAGUUUCUGUGGAGCCAUCCUUGAAAUACCACCCUUAUCUUCGUGGAUGUCUAACCGCGGUCCGUUAUCCGGAUCCGGGACAGUGUAU
rnacentral:rRNA from 1 species